AUGGAACAUUUCUGGGAUCUUUUGUUUCAGCUCAUGAACCAUUGGACCAACACUUUACAUGUUGCGUUUAUAUAUUUUUUUCAUUAUAUAUUCGUCUUUUAUCAGACGCUCUUAUCCAGAGCAACUUACAGUAGUGAGUGCAGACAUUUUCAUACUUGUUUUCGUACUUGGUUAGCUUGUUCUGCUUCUAAUUUGAAUUGUUCUUUCUCCUCUGUUCUACUCUUAGAGAGCCAGAGUACUACGACUACGGACAUGGAGAAACACAGGAAGCAUACGAACCCUAUGCCCAGGACGACUGGAACGGGACCCAGAGAGUGGCGCCGGGGGGUAAGGCCCCCNNNNNNNNNNGGGGGAGGGCAGGCUGCCAAGAGGACCAGAGAACAGAAGGAGCCUACUAGGGAGCGAGAAGGCACCGGUGGAACAAGAGGGGUGGAUUCUAGCUACAGGCUCUGUAUGAGGGGGAAAAUAGUCAGGCUCAAAUGACAGGAAUGUGGACUGUGACACUAGCUGUGAGACUGUGACACUAGCCGUGAGACUGUGACACUAGCCGUGAGACACUGACACUAGCCGUGAGACACUGACACUAGCCGUGAGACACUGACACUGGCCGUGAGACACUGACACUGGCCGUGAGACACUGACACUGGCCGUGAGACUGUGACACUGGCCGUGAGACUGUGACACUGGCCGUGAGACUGNNNNNNNNNNUUUGGAUGGAGGUGGGGGGGGGGAUUUGAAGUUUUAGUUGAUUUCUGUUUUUCUCUCUGACCAUGUCUCCCUCUUGGCUUUUCUUUUGCACUGUUGACUUAAGGUUUCUUUUAUUUUUAAUGUUUGGAUUUAAACUCGCUUCUAGUGGAGUUAGACGACUUAUCCACUUGUUGUCGUCUUUAAAGGGACAUUUAAAAAACGCUCUACUUCAUAUUCAUUAUCUCCAGUUCAACAACAACAUAUGUGAACGUGGUACGUUUCUACGUUUUUGUAGUUUAAAAAACAAAACUGUUUCCGAUGACGACAGUCUGCGACUAAUUGACUAAUUGGCUAAUUGACUAAUUGGCUAAUUGACUAAUUGACUGACUAAUUGACUAAUUGACUAAUUGACUAAUUGACUAAUUGACUAAUUGACUAAUUGACUAAUUGACUAAUUGGUUGAUGUUAUUGGAAACAGUUAUCUUCAUAUUUUCACAAGUAUUGAUGUUGGAUCUGGAGAUGACGAAUAUGAAGUAGAACCAUUCAUUAUUUUGUUUAAAACUAUACUUUGAGGGACAGUUGCAGAUUCCCAUUUAGGCUACAUUCCUAUUUUUUUUACAUUUUUUUUUUAAUUUAUUUUUUUAAUAAAAUAAAGUUAAGAAACUUAAACACUGUUUCAAUUAUGUAAUAUAGACCAAACCAAAAACGCCAAGUCAAAUGGAAACAGGGAAAAAACAAACAAAUGUUAAUGGAAUUUGAUUUAACAUUCCCAUUUGUUUUAAAUAGUUUUUAAUUAAUAGUUGUCAAUGUAGACUUUUUUUUAUUUUUAUAUAAUGACAUUUUCUCAUUGUACAUUUAGAGUUUUUGAAAUAUAGGCCUGAUUAUCCCCUGUUGAGAUGGACUGUCCUCACAUACUACUUUUUAUUAUUAAAGUUGGUUCAACAGUAAGUUCAUUUUUAUUAUUUUUAUUAUGUCUCUACAGUCGAUGUCUUUUUUAUUUUUUACAAGUAGAAUACGGCCUUAGAUCGGCCUCAUGUCGUGAUAAAUAAUGUCACGUGUCAGUACAGGAUCUUAUUGGUUGAAUCUGAUUCUAUAAAACUGCAUGUAAAAAAAAAAACGAUGCAAUGAAGGAUUGGGACAAAAAAAUCUCCACAUGACGGGAGAUCCUGCAGCUUUUCAAUCUGAGCUCUUGUACAUACUUUAAAUCGUCCAAAUCCACUAUUCUGCCACUGGUAUAUGCAUUAUGCUCUAUGUGUAAGGCUUGCCUAAAUAGGUAACUACUAAAUCUGUCCAAAAUAUGUUUUUUUUGCAGCAAUUUGUCAAUAAAGACUAGUUUGUUUUUCUAUGUAACUUCCUGCAACUUGGUUUAUUUCUACUUCCUGUCCAAGUCAAAAUUUUGAAAUGUCAUUUUUAAAUAGCAUUUAACAGCCUGGCAGCUAGUUGGUGUUUUUCUUGUUAUUUCUCUUCAAAAACACAUUUAAAAUUUUUAAAUGAAUUGUAUUGUAGUCUGAGGACGUUAACGUAUACUAAAUGAUGUCUUGAUUUGUUUUUUUAAAUUUAUUAUUUAAAAAACAGCACGACUUAUUCUUUCUCUCUCUUUCUAUACUUUUUUAAAAAGGAACCAGAGGUAAAACCUGUAAAAUAACCUGGAUAGCUUCCUAAUGUGUUUAAAGCUCUUAAGCAUUGAGUGCCUUGGGUAUGUAUAACGACUUUUUCAAUCCAUCUUACCUGUGGUCGUAGAGCAACUUUAAUGAGAAAUGCAUUGCUAGACUCUUUGUUAGUAAAAUUGAACUGAACUCCACGACCAUUUUUUUUAAGUCUUUUAGGUUUCAGGGUUUGACCUCGAUGUUCAUGUCAUGUGUAGUGGCCGACGCGGUGGCUUCUUUAGGAAAGAGAGUAAUGGCAGUGCAAUGGAGAGGAUGGUUUAAACCGUAAUCCUUCCACUAUAAAGGUAACCUUAACCCUAAAAUGAGUCAUUUUUGAUAGUGUGUUUACACAGUGAAUUAAACUGCUGGUAAAUGCGUGCAAUUUAGUAAAAGAAGAAUUCUAGUCAUGCAAAAUUUUAAAACGACCAAAAGUACGGAAAAUAAUGUAACUUCAAAUAUAUUAUUGCAGUUGUAAGAUUUUUUAAUUUACUAAAAUAACAUUGCUGUGUACUUGACAAAAUAUCCUAUAAUAGUUUUUUUUUUUAAUUAGUUUUUAUUAAUGCUAAAAUGAAAAUCUGCAAAGCCGAAACUCUUAACCUUCUGAACCAGUUGAGCUCGUGCUACUUUUUCUUUGGUAAUAUGUUUGUAAACGUUUUAUAUUACUGUAAUGGUGAACGUGUUACGACUUCUCGUAGAAAGUAAUGGACAAAAAGCUUGAGUUGCACAACUACAACUACUCUCUAGACUUUUUGCAUGAUUUUUUUUUUUUGUAUUUAUUUUUUAAACUGAACUAUCCACUAGUGUUUUUUUUCAUUGGUUAUUGAUUUUAAUAUCUCUUCCAUCAGGUCCAGCUAUUAGUCAGUGAAGAACCAAUCAGAGGUCGGCUUACUGGAGAGAUGAAACCAUGCGUACCUCAGGUAGGAAUUUGUAUUAUUUUUUUGCUUAAGGGGGGUUUUGCAACCAUGUUUGCCAAAGCCGAUAUUCAUAAACCAUCGCAGAGUACAAUUGCUGAUCUAAGAUCAGUUGUACCUUUUAAAAACAUGUGAUUUUAUACGGACAGGAAGGACCUGAUCCUAGAUCAGUACUCCUACUCUUAGACACUUCAUGAAUACAGGUCCAGAUGUAUAGCCAUACUGGAAAUCCACAUUCCAGGACUGUGUGGCUGAUAAACCAUUCGUCAAGUUACUACUUAUGUAGAACCAUACACACGGGCCAGAACCAUACACACGGGCCAGAACCAUACACACGGGCCAGAACCACACACACGGGCCAGAACCACUGGCCAGGACCNNNNNNNNNNCCCCCCCCCCCCCCAUGUCCUUUGGAGCCUCCUGCAGAUUUUGCUCCUCAAGCGAGGAUAAGUGUAUAUAUUUUUUAAUUAUGCUCAGCUCACGAGGCCCCUUCUCAAUGUGAGGCCUGAGGCCAUUGCCUGUCUUGCAUAAUGGUAAAUCCGCCACUGGGGUUGGCGAUAGAAUGGUGCAAUUUAUGCCAUUAUUCCACAUUCACAGCUUGAUAUUACACUGAG
rnacentral:lncRNA from 13 species